rnacentral:lncRNA from 1 species
UCCCGAUGUGCUGGAAUCACAGAUGUGAGCCACCACACCCAGCCUCCUUCUUCUUUUUCUCCUUCUCUAUCUUCCUUGCCUCUACUGUCUUUUUAGAGAGAUUUUUAGAUAGAAACAAAAUAAAAUCUCAUACACACACACACACACACACACACACACAAAACCCACACAUACAAGAACCCACUGUGUAUUCAAUUCAUCUACACGUAAGUCCCUUUCUGCUUUUUCAAACAACGUUAUGCUCCAAACAGGGAUAAAUUAAAAUAAUGAGUGAGUCCACCAUGAGGCCUCUCUCUCCUAAACAGCAAAGCCACUGCCGGGAAGGGGCCUGAGCUCUGUUUCCAUGGCUGCUUCCUUUGCUUGUUUGACAUAAAUCGGUUGAUGAUUCUAAACCAAAAUGUCACUUGUUUAUUGCUCAUGUUAAGCAGCAGACAUAACUCUCUCCCAGAAGGCAGGCAUCUCCCAGUGUGUGACAUUGCCAUGUUUUCUUCACAGCGCCGGGUCUUGGUAUCUAGUAGGUGCCAGUUAACAAAUGUUUGAACGACUUGGCGCAUAAACAACCGUUUCAUCGAUUAUGUAACUAAUCAGCACCUGACUGUAAGCUGCUUGAAAAUACGGAUCGCCUUCGAAUUGUGUAACCGAGAAACGGGGGGGAGCGGGCACCGUGUCUUUGAGAUGACCCAGGAGCCGCACAGAGGUGGGGAAAUGAGGGCAGAGAAACCAGCCCAGGCCUUGGGGGCCUCAGAGUCCAGGCAGGACCUGGGUUUCUGAUUGUGCCUCGGAAGUGAAUCAGCACCACCGCCUUCUGUCCUUGGGACGUUCCGCUGAGCACCACCGUGGGAGACGCCGACAGCCGAGCGGGGCCCUCAGCCCGGCCUUGCCCCACGGGCACUCCCAGCAGGACAGACACAGACACACGGCUGGAAGGACCCAUUCUCCCAAGGAAACUGGCACUGUGUGGACCACAGGCAGGCGGGUGCUGAGCCGCGAGGACCUAGCAGGUCCCCCGUCCACUCCCGGCCUGACCCUGCAUGGCUCCCAGGCAGCCCUCUCGGGCCUCAGCGUGCAAGGCAGCCCUGGGUGGAGGCCCCACCUGGGGUCAUUCAUCACAGCCUGUGCAUCUACACUGAGUGUGUGUCAGUGUUCCAUAAGCCUCACUCCCAGGGCUCCUGGUGGGGCCUGGCCCCACAGUAGGUGUUUAUCUUGUCCACCGCCUCAGAGCUGUGCUGUUCUGUGCUGUCCUGAGCUGUCUACGCCCAUGACAAACACACAGCUGGUGAGGUCCCUCUCUCCCCGCAGCCCCGGCACCCCACAGUCAGCACAGUCCUGGCCACUGUCGCCUUUUCAUCACAAACACCCUCAUUAGUUAGCGGGGCCAACAGCGUUAUCUUCAGAGGGGUCAGGAAACCCGGUGUUACUCUGGGCUUAGGCUUGGACCCUGCGUUUUGUGGCCCAUGACCUUUAACAUCGACGUGGCCUCUGACGUCUGACAUGUCCAUUGAGCCAGACCUCUGCUAACUUCAGCACAUUCCAGUUUUUAUGAAGCCCAAAUUGAUCAUCUGCUGCAACAGCGUUUGACAUCCUGGUUUCAGGUUCCUUCGUCUAUCCUUGGCCCUAAUCCACAGAUUUCUGGGGACUGUGCCCUAGCCCACAGGAAAAAAAAAAACAGAUAUAACUAAUGUUACUAAAAUAUUACUAAAACCAUAUUUCAAAAAAUGAAUCUGGGCUGGGCAUGGUGACCCACGCCUGUAAUCCCAGCACUCUGGGAGGCCGAGGCGGGCAGAUCACGAGGUCGGGAGUUCGAGACCAGCCUGGCCAACAUGGUGAAACCCCAUCUCUACUAAAAAUACAAAAAUUAGCCAGGCGUGGUGGCGGGCGCCUGUAAUCACAGCUACAUGGGAGGCUGAGGCAGGAG